rnacentral:rRNA from 1 species
GACGAACCGUCCAAACGUUAUUCGGUAUCACUGGGCUUAAAGAGUUCGUAGGCGGCUAAACAGGUGAGGUGUGAAAGCCCUCGGCUUAACCGAGGAACUGCGCUUCAAACCGUUUAGCUAGAGGAAGACAGAGGUGAGCGGAACUGAUGGUGGAGCGGUGAAAUGCGUUGAUAUCAUCAGGAACACCGGUGGCGAAAGCGGCUCACUGGGUCUUUUCUGACGCUGAGGAACGAAAGCUAGGGGAGCGAACGGGAUUAGAUACCCCGGUAGUCCUAGCCGUAAACGAUGAGCACUAGACUGUGGGGACCCUCACAUCCUCUCGGUCGUAGCGAAAGUGUUAAGUGCUCCGCCUGGGGAGUAUGGUCGCAAGGCUGAA